rnacentral:rRNA from 1 species
UACGAACCGUGCGAACGUCGUUCGGAAUCACUGGGCUUAAAGGGCGCGUAGGCGGGCCCGCAAGUCAGGGGUGAAAUCCCACGGCUUAACCGUGGAACUGCUGGGUAUACUGGGCGUCUUGAGCCACUCAGGGGCUACCGGAACAAGCGGUGGAGCGGUGAAAUGCGUAGAUAUCGCUUGGAACGCCAAUGGUGAAAACAGGUAGCUGGGGGUGUGCUGACACUGAGACACGAAAGCCAGGGGAGCAAACGGG